GCGCGCUUAGCUCAGUUGGUUAGAGCAUUCGCUUUACACGCGAAGGGUCGGGGGUUCGAAUCCCUCAGCGCGCACCA
rnacentral:tRNA from 1 species